ACAGGGGAAAUGGCUGCGCUUGUGUGAACAUCACCCUCUCCUGCCUUGGGGGCACCAAAGAAAAAAAAGAGACCCCCCCUCCACCAAUGGGUAAAGGUAAUACACAUACUCUUUGGUUAUUUCGGUAACGUCACGUAAGUAGAAAUAAAAUAAAACAAAUCACGACGUUUCGAUCGCAACACAAGCAAUCUUCAUCAGGUGGAACAACCACAGCAAGAAAAAUGCUGAAGUAGGCGAGAGAGCUGCCGUGGAAAGAGGAAUGACUGAGGCACAAUCAAUCUUCACUGCAGUCACAGCUCUUGUCUCAGUGUAUGGAGCAAGCUUCAUUCUCCACAUACCAGCUGGAGCUCGUUCAAGCGGCAAUCCAUGGAUACUGUGGGUGUGAAAUUCUCACAUCUGCUUUUGUACAUUUUUGUUCCAUAUUUUCGUUAACGACCGUGUUUCUGAGCCGUAUGCCAUCGCAAGUGAUUCUCACCGAUGAAACAUAAAACGGUCAUCUUUUUGAUUAUUGGUUUGUUACUUUUCAUUAUCAAGUUACGGUUUCCAAAGGCACUUCAUCCCAUUCACGUCUGGCUUGAUUUCAUUAAUGCAAUGUUGGUUAACUUCAGCGGCUGACCAAGUUUCAUAUUUUAUCUGUUCUGCUUUUGUCAAUUUGUUGACUGAGGUCACUCUUACCUUGGCAUUUUCUCGUCUGGGAAAAAAAACCUCAAAUGUAACCUGGAACUUGACAUUUUUUGUGUUCCGCUUUUUAACUCUAAUUUUUUUACCGAGUGCUGUUGUAUUCGAUGUUCAGUUUCACAUCGCAGUCUCUUUGUGAUACUUAUUACUUUCGUCAAUAUGUAUAUUGACUUUUGUUCUCUGUUUACUUUCUUAUACCACUCCACCCUCCCCCACCCCCUCCCCCCAUGUUUAUUUUUUAAGCAUGUUUGUGUAUGGGGCUAGAUGUUAACUACCUUGCCUGGUAAGCACGGGGUCGUGGGUUGGAUACUAACCCUAACGCAUGUAUUUUUGGAGUUUGCGUGUUCCCGUGGUCGCGUGGAUUUUUUGUCCUGGUCUUUUAGAAACAUGCGUUUAGAGUAAUUGGCUGCUAAACAUUUCCAGAUGAUAAGCCACUUCGUUGAGCUGUCAUUCGUGGUCAUGUCGCUUCUGAAAAAUACCUUUAUGUACUCUUAGUUAUUUCGGUAAAGUCCCACCUGAUGACGGAGACUUGUGUUGCCUCUGAAACGUCGUGAUUUUUAUUGUUUUAUUUUAAUUUUAAUUUCAUUUUUUACCUACGUGACUUUACCGAAAGAACUAAGAGUAUGAAUCCUUGCAGUCACGAAAGCUUUAAAUCUAGAAUUAAUACCUAUAUACUCAGUGGGCCUUACCUGGUAAAAUAAAAAAUUGUUUCAAUAUUUUUGGUUUCGUUUGGGAAUAUUACGUUUCACUGUCAAGUUAAGGUUUUCAAAAGCACCUCAACCCACUGACAUUUGCCUCAAUUUCAUUCAUACAUUUUUCUGACACUUGUCAAUCGCUGUUCUAAGUACAUAUAUGGGUGGUGACGUGGUCGGGCAAACGGUUAUUUAUGUGCCGCUUGUUGCAGAGAUUCGCGCUUCGAUUCCGGUUAAUACCGCGGGUGUACUGACCAUAAACUAAGCACCAUCUGGCUCAGUGACAUCAUUCAACAUUAGCAGGCCAUUGCGUGCUUACACUGCAGUUAAAUUUGCUUUUAAUCCCCCACAAAUUAAUGAAUUGGGAGAACACGAAAGAAAAAUGUCCCCUAAUGUGAAACUACUGCAGCACUGUUGUAACUACAUAGCACCUUUCCGAUAGGCUUGCGUGAAUAGCAAAUAUAGGAAUGAUUUAAUGUUAUGUUCAGUUGUGUUUUACGACUGAGUCCCUCAUAUAGAUUGGUUUGUGACAGCUUGGAUGACUUCACCGCACUUGGGUUUAAUCUUUUUGUUCAGCGCUGUCCUCUGAGUUUAAUUUGAAGUGAUAUAUUUGAACAAUUAAGAUGCAAUGGUGACAAUUGCAUAAACCGUAGCAACGUUUACAAGUGUGUGGAUUUGUGAUGUACAUUUGCCUUUAACGUGUAAUAGCUAUAAUGAAUUAAUUAAACGUGCGAAUAAAACAAUUAAACAUGAAUGCAUUUUUAAUAAUAAAAUAGUAAUAAAUGAUCAUAAAUUAAAUAAGUUAUUAAGACUGUUGACUAGUAAAUUAAUGAACAAGUAAUACCUUUCAUAUCGAGGGCACUAAUCUUUCCUACACCUUUUUUUACAUCCAUUACACUAUUGUAAUAUUACAAUUGCAAUUAUUUAAAUUAACACCUUUAUUUUUAUUAUUAAUUUCAUACAUUGACAUUUAAUAACCUUUCA